rnacentral:rRNA from 1 species
CAGUCGCCGCGGUAAGACAGAGGAUGUAAGCGUUAUCCAGAAUGAUUAGGCGUAAAGCGUCUGUAGGUGGCUUUUCAAGUCCACCGUCAAAUCCUCGGGCUCAACCCUCGAUAGGCAGUGGAAACUACCAAGAUGGAGUACGGUAGGGGCAGAGGGAAUUUCCGGUGGAGCGGUGAAAUGCGUUGAGAUCGGAAAGAACACCAAUGGUGAAAGCACUCUGCUGGGCCGACACUGACACUGAGAGACGGAAGCUAGGGGAGCAAAUGGGAUUAGAUACCCCGGUAGUCCCUGUCUCUUAUAC